rnacentral:rRNA from 1 species
GACGAACGCUGGCGGCGUGCUUAACACAUGCAAGUCGAACGGUGAACCUCUUCGCAGGGGACCAGUGGCUUACGGGUGAGUAACACGUUGACAACCUGCUCCCGUCUCUGGGAUAACUCCAAGAAAUUGGGGCUAAUACCGGAUGUUCACCGCUUCCCGCAUGGGUGAUGGUUGAAAGGGUUUACGGCUGGGGAUUGGCCCGCGGCCUAUCAGCUUGUUGGUGGUGUAGUGGCCUUCCAAGGACAGGACGGAUAGCCGGCCUGAGAGGGUGACCGGCCACACGGGGACUGAGAGAGGGCCCAGACUCGAACGGGAGGCAGCAGUGGGGAGUAUUGCGCAAUGGGCGGAAGCCUGACGCAGCGACGCCGCGUGGGGGAUGACGGCCUUCUGGUUGUAAACCUCUUUCUGCAGGGACGAAGCGCAAUUGACGGUACCUGCAGAGGAAGCACCGGCCAACUACGUG